CCUACGGGGGGCUGCAGUGAGGAAUAUUGGUCAAUGGACGAGAGUCUGAACCAGCCAAGUAGCGUGAAGGAUGACUGCCCUAUGGGUUGUAAACUUCUUUUAUAUGGGAAUAAAAUGUUCCACGUGUGGGAUUUUGUAUGUACCAUAUGAAUAAGGAUCGGCUAACUCCGUGCCAGCAGCCGCGGUAAUACGGAGGGUCCGAGCGUUAUCCGGAUUUAUUGGGUUUAAAGGGAGCGUAGGUGGAUUGUUAAGUCAGUUGUGAAAGUUUGCGGCUCAACCGUAAAAUUGCAGUUGAAACUGGCAGUCUUGAGUACAGUAGAGGUGGGCGGAAUUCGUGGUGUAGCGGUGAAAUGCUUAGAUAUCACGAAGAACUCCGAUUGCGAAGGCAGCUCGCUGGACUGCAACUGACACUGAGGCUCGAAAGUGUGGGUAUCAAACAGGAUUAGAUACCCUGGUAGUC
rnacentral:rRNA from 1 species